ACGGGUGAGUAACGCGUGGGGAAUCUGCCUUUGAGCGGGGGACAACAUUUGGAAACGAAUGCUAAUACCGCAUAAAAACUUUAAACACAAGUUUUAAGUUUGAAAGAUGCAAUUGCAUCACUCAAAGAUGAUCCCGCGUUGUAUUAGCUAGUUGGUGAGGUAAAGGCUCACCAAGGCGAUGAUACAUAGCCGACCUGAGAGGGUGAUCGGCCACAUUGGGACUGAGACACGGCCCAAACUCCUACGGGAGGCAGCAGUAGGGAAUCUUCGGCAAUGGACGAAAGUCUGACCGAGCAACGCCGCGUGAGUGAAGAAGGUUUUCGGAUCGUAAAACUCUGUUGGUAGAGAAGGACGUUGGUGAGAGUGGAAAGCUCAUCAAGUGACGGUAACUACCCAGAAAGGGACGGCUAACUACGUGCCAGCAGCCGCGGUAAUACGUAGGUCCCGAGCGUUGUCCGGAUUUAUUGGGCGUAAAGCGAGCGCAGGUGGUUUAUUAAGUCUGGUGUAAAAGGCAGUGGCUCAACCAUUGUAUGCAUUGGAAACUGGUAGACUUGAGUGCAGGAGAGGAGAGUGGAAUU
rnacentral:rRNA from 1 species